UGGGGAAUAUUGCACAAUGGGGGAAACCCUGAUGCAGCAACGCCGCGUGAGCGAUGAAGGCCUUCGGGUUGUAAAGCUCUGUCUUCGGGGACGAUAAUGACGGUACCCGAGGAGGAAGCCACGGCUAACUACGUGCCAGCAGCCGCGGUAAUACGUAGGUGGCAAGCGUUGUCCGGAAUUAUUGGGCGUAAAGGAUGCGUAGGUGGUCCUUUAAGUGGGAUGUGAAAUCCCUGGGCUUAACCCAGGAAUUGCAUUCCAAACUGGAGGACUAGAGUGCAGGAGAGGAAAGUGGAAUUCCCAGUGUAGCGGUGAAAUGCGUAGAGAUUGGGAGGAACACCAGUGGCGAAGGCGGCUUUCUGGACUGUAACUGACACUGAGGCAUGAAAGCGUGGGGAGCAAACA
rnacentral:rRNA from 1 species